rnacentral:misc_RNA from 1 species
GCUUGACAUUGUAGUUGGCACUGGACACCCCCAGCAAGGGGGUAAAAGGGCAAAGACAUUAGGCAAAAAUCGAUUUCACAAAGCAGUUACUCCAGGACCUCAGUCGGCCACAGUCCUGUCCAAGUCGAGAUCUCAUCCUUAUUGUGGAGUUUCCUGAUCCCUCCGUAAAAUCCAUCGGUUUCAUUCCCUUCUUCCUGGUGAUCCUUUCGGCUAAUGGACGAUCGUCUCCAUCUCGAUCCAGGCGUGUACUGGUUGAAUUCCAA